UGCAGCGAUCAUGUCCGGCAGAGGGAAGGGCGGAAAGGGCCUCGGCAAAGGGGGCGCCAAGCGCCACCGCAAGGUCUUGAGAGACAACAUCCAAGGCAUCACCAAGCCGGCGAUCCGGCGUCUAGCUCGGCGUGGCGGCGUGAAGCGGAUCUCCGGGCUGAUCUACGAGGAGACCCGCGGCGUGCUGAAGGUGUUCCUGGAGAACGUGAUCCGGGACGCCGUCACCUACACGGAGCACGCCAAGCGCAAGACCGUCACGGCCAUGGACGUGGUGUACGCGCUCAAGCGCCAGGGCCGCACCCUCUACGGCUUCGGAGGCUAGGCCGCCGCGCCGCCUCUGCACGUGUUUCGGUUUUUUUGGUUCGCUAUGGCCCGUACGAAGCAGACUGCCCGCAAGUCGACCGGCGGCAAAGCCCCGAGAAAGCAGCUGGCCACCAAGGCGGCCCGCAAGAGCGCGCCGGCCACGGGCGGGGUGAAGAAGCCGCACCGUUACCGUCCGGGCACCGUGGCCCUGCGCGAGAUCCGGCGCUACCAGAAGUCCACGGAGCUGCUGAUCCGCAAGCUGCCCUUCCAGCGGCUGGUGCGCGAGAUCGCGCAGGACUUUAAGACGGACCUGCGCUUCCAGAGCUCGGCCGUGAUGGCGCUGCAGGAGGCCAGCGAGGCCUACCUGGUGGGGCUGUUCGAAGACACGAACCUGUGCGCCAUCCACGCCAAGCGCGUGACCAUCAUGCCCAAGGACAUCCAGCUGGCCCGCCGCAUCCGCGGGGAGCGGGCUUAAGUGCGCGCUCGGCUCGUAGGUUCCAUCGUAUCCAAAAGGCUCUUUUCAGAGCCACCCACAGCAGCACUUUGAAGAGGCUGUACCGCUUGCCCUCCGUGCUCCUCCGGCAUUAAGGGCCGGGAAAGCUUUUCCAGCUCGGUUCCCAAAGAAAGA